AGCGAACGCUGGCGGCAGGCCUAACACAUGCAAGUCGAACGGUAACAGGUCUUCGGUUGCUGACGAGUGGCGAACGGGUGAGUAAUAUAUCGGAACGUGCCUAGUCGUGGGGGAUAACUACUCGAAAGAGUGGCUAAACCGCAUGAGAUCUACGGAUGAAAGCAGGGGAUCGCAAGACCGUGUGCGACUAGAGCGGCCGAUGGCAGAUUAGGUAGUUGGUGGGAUAAAAGCUUACCAAGCCGACGAUCUGUAGCUGGUCUGAGAGGACGAUCAGCCACACUGGGACUGAGACACGGCCCAGACUCCUACGGGAGGCAGCAGUGGGGAAUUUUGGACAAUGGGCGCAAGCCUGAUCCAGCAAUGCCGCGUGCAGGAUGAAGGCCUUCGGGUUGUAAACUGCUUUUGUACGGAACGAAAAGCCCUGGGUUAAUACCCUGGGGUCAUGACGGUACCGUAAGAAUAAGCACCGGCUAACUACGUGCCAGCAGCCGCGGUAAAAC
rnacentral:rRNA from 1 species